UUAAACUUGCUGCCAUCUUUUACAGUAACUUGUUAAAACCACGGGGUGACGCUGUGGUAACUCUAUAACAAACGCGUCUCUUUUGUAAACGAAGAAAAGGGUGCCGGAAAUGACACGGAACUGCUUCCGGGAUCAAUGUUGUCAAUUGCUGUUUACUGAAAAAUAACCCAUAGCACUGUUUUAAUAACUUCAAGUGCAUUUAUUUUAAAUGCAGCUAUAGUGUUUUGUGCAUUAAAUCGCACAAAGUCGCACUUAGAUGACCUAUCACUUGAUCAAAGACUAUUAAACGUCAAAACAAUAUGAAUUCGGUCACUACCGUAACUCUGCAUCCACAUCUGCGCGAAGAAGAAGUUCUUGUGGUGGAAAAUGCAAUUCGUUUGGCAAUAGACUCGAUAAUUAACGUGUUGUACGGCGUCAACAGCGCCAGGACUAAUGAGUUCCAGCGGAUAUUGGGCGACCGGGACAAAGAGAUCCAGCGGCUGAAUUGCAGGCUCAGAGAGCUGGAGCACGAACAUCAUGCUCCGCGUCAGCCGGUAUGUACCUGCAGAGUCCUGCAGAAAGCUGACUGUAGCAGGUUCAUUGUGUCGCAGGUCUCCGCUGACCAACAACCAGCACAGCUGAGCCGCUAUGACCCAAGUAGCUCAGACCCUGAGCUGGCCAAGCAGGAGUGUGAAGACAGCAAUACCGCGACACUUUUUGAAAGACCUUCCUUGCAAAUCUCUUUACAAAGCAACGAGUCUUCGGUUCAGUUGUCACCAAGCAGAAGGGGUCUCAGACAGAGUGGAACCCCCCACUCCACAGAGUCCUUCAGCAUGUCGGAUGCAGCGGUGAACGUACCCACGUCUCCCAGCAGCUCCGCUGUCAAAGAAGAACCAUGUGAGAUUGAUAAAGUCUUCAUCCAGUGGGAAAUUAGUCAGCAGGAAUCAGAGCGUCAUCAGGAGGAUGGAGACACUCAGGAGACUCCCACUGAAACCCAACUGCUGGAUCCCAGAGACAGGAGGAACAUCAGGAAUAAAGCUCACGCACCACCAGAUGGACAUCCCUUCCCUCAGAGACAACACCUACGGAUGAAGAAGAAGAGUGUGCCGAUGUCAGAGCUGUCAGAAGAGGCCCAGAGGCUGAAGAGGGCAGCCUGGAGAGCUGCUUCCAGGCGAUACUACGCCCGGAAAAUAGCUCGACAGCAGGCCAACUCUGCACGCCUGGGCACGUUUUCCCAGGUUAAAGACUUCCGGUCUUCUCAGGUUGAGAGGAGGACGCUGAUGCAGGAGCUACCAAACGACCGUCAAAUGCUGCAGAGGGCUGCACCAACCACGUACUGCACAUCCAACAUCUCGCACCAUCAGACGGAGCCCACACAGGCCGGCCACCUGCCCCAGGACGCAGAGUGGCUCGAGGGGCCGCUGGAGACCAACGGAAGAGGAUCACAUGACAUCAGCGGAGGAAUAAUGUGCAGCUGAGUUCAGUGCUCAGGAUGAAGCUGGAUUAUAUCGCAAUUUAUCAUUUCAUUGGGAGACGAUAUGAAACAUGGAGAGAAUGAAUGUGUCCUGUAUGUCUCCAGGUCAUCUGAUGUGUUUCUGGACUCAUUCAUGUCCAUGUUUAAGAUGUCUAUUGUCUUUAUUUUUGUUAAAUGCAAUGUGGGCCUGUAUCAAUUUGAUUAAAGAUAUAUUUCAAUACCUUUACUAUACAGCAUUACAGAAAUGCAAACUACUGGCGAUGAAUAAAUGUAUCUCUCUGUGUUCUGAUGCAACACAUCUUUCCUCCAGUUAUUAAUCUCCUCAGCUGUUUGUGCCAACAUACGUCUGCAUGCUGAGAUCCAGUCAAGGAGCAGCAAAACCUCCAAUCUGGGAAAUGGAAGACCUGGAUUGGAGGGUCCAAGAACAGUAGAUUCUGUAGGUUCACACAGUCACUGUUCUGUCCUACACAAACAGCCCGACUGAUUAAAGGCUGCAACCUACAGAACAGAGGAGUGCUGCAAGCAAACAUGAGCCAUCAGAUACCAUCAUUUUUACCCCAGUUUGGGCCUGACGGCUACAAACACCAAUAAACUCCUUUGAGCAGCAGAUGGUGGGGGAGGCGAGCCCCACUAAAACAACUUGAUUGUAUUAAAGUCGAGCUGAUGAUCUUAAGCUGUUUAGCCUCAUGAGGGGA
rnacentral:lncRNA from 1 species